rnacentral:tRNA from 1 species
AUUUAUAUAGUAUAACUAAGUAUAUGUGACUUCCAAUCAUAGGGCCUAAAUAUUUUAGUAUAAAUA